rnacentral:rRNA from 1 species
AUUGAACGCUGGCGGAAUGCUUUACACAUGCAAGUCGAACGGCAGCACGGGGCAACCUGGUGGCGAGUGGCGAACGGGUGAGUAAUACAUCGGAACGUGCCCAAUCGUGGGGGAUAACGUAGCGAAAGAUACGCUAAUACCGCAUACGAUCUACGGAUGAAAGCGGGGGAUCGCAAGACCUCGCGCGAAUGGAGCGGCCGAUGUCAGAUUAGGUAGUUGGUGGGGUAAAGGCUCACCAAGCCAACGAUCUGUAGCUGGUCUGAGAGGACGACCAGCCACACUGGAACUGAGACACGGUCCAGACUCCUACGGGAGGCAGCAGUGGGGAAUUUUGGACAAUGGGCGCAAGCCUGAUCCAGCCAUUCCGCGUGCAGGAUGAAGGCCUUCGGUGUAACUGCUUUGUACGGUAACGAAACGGACGAGCUCUAAUACAGUUUGCUAAUGACGGUACCGUAAGAAUAAGCACCGGCGUAACUACGUAGCCAGCAGCCGCGGUAA